AAAAUGUGAAUAAAAGCAUGAGAUAAGCUAUAAAAACAUUUUUUUUCUCUGCCCCAUGACAUAAUGUGUAGAAAAGCAUUAUAAAACUGCAUAUUUCUUUUCUCCACACCAUGGCAAAAUUUGUUGAAAUGCAGUAAGUUAGAAUUUUUAAACGAAUAAUGUGGAACAAAGUGGAGAGUACUCAACUAACGUGAGUCGAGGUGCAACCAACAUUUUUGUCAUCAUUGGAAAUGAAAAGGUGCAACGCUCGCUCACCAUUAAAAAGUAUUUGUUUUAUUUAAGCAAGGUUAAAAGAUUAAUGUUUCGGUCUUCAAUUCAGAAUUCUGAUGAAGGACAUUGAAGGCCAAAACAUACAUCUUUUAACCUUGCCUAAAUAAAAAAUAAAAAAUAAAAUUAAUGGUGAGCAAGCAUUGCACUUUUUCCUUUCCAAAAAUAAUAACGUGCAAAUAUUGUACAAUCCGGAAUCCAGGUGUGCAAAGCUCUUAGAGACUUACCCAGAAAGACUCACAGUUGUAAUCGCUGCCAAAGGUGAUUGUAACAUGUAUUGACUCAAGGGGUUGAAUAUCUGUCUAAUCAAGAUAUACAGUUGAAGUCGGAAGUUUACAUACACUUAGGUUGGAGUCAUUAAAACUAGUUUUUCAAGCACUCCACACAUUUCUUGUUAACAAACUAUCAUUUUGGUAAGUCGGUUAGGACACUACUUUGUGCACGACACAAGUAAUUUUUCCAACAAUUGUUUACAGACAGAUUAUUUAAUUUAUAAUUCACUGUAUCACAAUUCCAGUGGGUCAGAAGUUUACAUACACUAAGUUGACUGUGCCUUUAAACAGCUUGGAAAAUUGCAGAAAAUGAUGCCAUGACUUUAGAAGCUUCUGAUAGGCUAAUUGACAUAAUUUGAGUCAAUUAGAGGUGUAGCUGUGGAUAUAUUUCAAGGUCAACCUUCAAACUCAGUGCCUCUGCUUGACAUCAUGGGAAAAUCAAAAGAAAUCACCCAAGACCUCAGAAAAGAAAUUGUAGACCUCUGGUUCAUCCUUGGGAGCAAUUUCCAAACGCCUGAAGGUACCACGCUCACCUGUACAAACAAUAGUACGCAAGUAUAAACACCAUGGGACUAGGCAACCGUCAUACCGCUCAGGAAGGAGACGCAUUCUGUCUCCUAGAGAUUAACAUACUUUGGUGCGAAAAGUGCAAAUCAAUCCCAGAACAACAGCAAAGGACCUUGUGAAGAUGCUGGAGGAAACACUUUGUACCUGUCUAUAUCCACAGUAAAACGAGUCCUAUAUUGACAUAACCUGAAAGACCGCUCAGCGAGGAAGAAGCCACUGUUCCAAAACCGCCAUAUAAAAUGCCAGACUACGGUUUGCAACUGCACAUGGGGACAAAGAUCGUACUUUUUGGAGAAAUGUCCUCUGGUCUGAUGAAACAAAAAUAGAACUGUUUGGCCAUAAUGCCCAUCGUAUGUUGGAGGAAAAAGGGGGAGCCGAGGAUCACCAUCCCAACCGUGAAACACGGGGGUGGCAGCAUCAUGUUGCGGAGGUGCUUUGCUGCAGGAGGGACUGGUGCACUUCACAAAAUAGAUGGCAUCAUGAUGAGGAAAAAUUAUGUGGAUAUAUUGAAGUAAUAUCUCAAGACAUCAGACAGUAAGUUAAAGCUUGGUCACAAAAUGGGUCUUCCAAAUGGACAAUGACCCUAAGCAUACUUCCAAAGUUGUGGCAAAAUGGCUUAAGGACAACAAAGUCAAGGUAUUGGAGUGGCCAUCACAAAGCCCUGACCUCAAUCCUCUAGAAAAUUUGUGGGCAGAACUGAAAAAGCGUGUGUGAGCAAGGAGACCUACAAUCUUGACACAGUUACACCAUCUCUGUCAGGAGGAAUGGGCCAAAAUUCGCCCACCUUAUUGUGGGAAGCUUGUGGAAGGCUACCCGAAACGUUUGACCCAAGUUAAACAAUUGUAAGGCAAUACUACCAAAUACUAAUUGAGUGUAUGUAAACGUCUGACCCACUGGGAAUGUGAUGAAAGAAAUAAAAGCUGAAAUAAAUCAUUCUCUCUACUAUUAUUCUGACAUUUCACAUUCUUAAAAUAGUGGUGAUCCUAACUGACCUAAGACAGGAAAUUUUUACUAGGUUUAAAUGUCAGGAAUUGUGAAAAAAAACUGAGUUUAAAUGUAUUUGGGUAAGGUGUAUGUAAACUUACGACUUCAACUGUGUUACAGAAUCUUAGAUAAAACAUUUAUUUUUACAAAUGUUAGUUUUUCUUCCACUUUGACAUUACAGUGUUUCGUGUAGCUUGUUGACAAACAAACAAACUGUGAAAAAAGUAAAGGGUUGUGAAUACUUUCUGAAGGCACUGUAGGCACUGACUGCUGACUUAUCACUCCGCAUGCUACGUUGCAUCUAACCUAGCCUUAGAUGAGUUGCCAAAAAAACGGAUGUUCUGGUUUUCAGGUAUACAGCUAUUUUCAACCUAGCUUCCUUUUCCGCUGAAAACCGGAUGUGGUAACUCCGCUCAGAUGUUUCUCUUACGCCUGCUACGUUACUAACCUAAAGUAGCCAACAUAAAAUAAAUGCCUGAAACGACAUCCCCUACAUACUGGUCUUGAUUAGUAGAAGAAGAAAAAAAACAGUUGGAAGUGGUUCUCUUCUGCACUGUUCAACCAAUCCAGUAAAUGUGGAGGAGGAGUUAAGAUGGAGUGUUGCCUUGUUAUCAUCCAAAAGUGGUUGUCGCAUCAAAGGCUCUCUUUCCAUUUCCCCUGAAAACUGUAACAUCCUGGUUGUUGGAUAGUGGCAGAGACUGUUGUAUCAAACGUGGUGGAAUCAGAGAAUGAGAGGCCUCUAGUGGCCGAAAGGCCAUAUUAGCAUGGGCAGCGCCAUUGAGGGCUUCCACCAUUUUAAUGUAGUCAACUGUCGUGGUUGUUCCAUGUCAUGUCCAACUGGGUCAUCAGGAGUGAUCAGCCAAUCGUGAAGAAGAAAAUUUAGUAAUUCAAAAUGGAAUUUGCCUCAAUAGUCCUUUUGCACAACGUAGCAACGCCCACUUCUGUUCAACUUCUUACCCGAUACAUAGCUUCCUCUCCCGAUUGCAUCCUGUCAUGAUGAUUGUAGCCAUUCUAGCCUCGAAUUCACUCGUUUUAUCAUUAUCUCAGUAUAUUAAUAUAAUCAUAUUAAUAUAAUCAUAUUUCUAUAGCGUUUUUUUAUCGUUCUUGUUGAAAAUUGUUUAUCCGUUCAGUUAGUGAUUCGAUUUUUGUGUUCUGUGUCUUUUUUUGUCUCUUUAGCUAGCAAACGUUAGCUACCAGUAGCUAGCUAAUGUUAGUGCUAACGUUAACAUUAUUAGUUGGUGCAGCAUCUUUAUUGAAAGUUAGGAAGUGAAGAAGAGCAACAUCAAGGUUGAGGCGAGAGGUCAUCUUCAUGGAAUAUUGCUCUGUUCCGUUGUGUACCUCCUCAGCGAAAUACUCCUCGUUGAGUUUUCACUCAUUUCCAAGUGAUACUGAGCUAAGAGUAAAAUGGGUCAUCAAUAUUCGCAGGGAAAAGUUCCCCAUCACAAGUCACUCCCAAGAUUUGUGGUAGACACUUUUUACCACAUGAUUUCAUUGAACCAUGUGUGCUUCGACAUCUGAAGAAGGGAGCAGUACCUUUGCUAUUCCAGUGGAAUAACUAAGCAAGAGCAAGUGUUUGGGAAAGAAGGGAGACCAAGGACUGGAUGUGUAGAGGACAACCAUGUUGAAGAUGGAAAGGAUGAAAAGAUGGAUUGCUAACAUGACCAUGACUACUGUGCAGUGGCUGGGCCCGAUGUAGUUGACCUGGUUUUGAUUGAGAGGGAAGAGAUGCAGAGAGCGAUUGAGGACCUAUUGAACAAAGUAGAGGAGUUGACUGUGAGAAGUUAUUUUGGGCUGCAGCGAUUUGUGGGAUCAGAGGCACAGAUCCAGUCCUUCACAAGGUGGGUAAACCUAGCCCUGCUUAGUAUUGUUACAUCAUAAACUUUACACUGUUUGCUUUCUGGCACCAUUUCCCCUAGCUACCAGCAUUUCUGUCUUAGACUUAUGAGUAAAUAACUCCUAUCAAUGAUUCUUGCCUCAUAUGACCAUCUGAUGGCCUUUUGGUCACUCAUCGAACUGUCAACUGACAAUAUUGUCCUGGUCACAUGAGCAAGGAGAGCCAAGCUGCGGAAUGAGGUGACACUUCCAUGUACCUACUCAGUAAGUUCUCCCAUUUCUGCUUAACUGUACUGUCUUACCAACGUUACUUUUCACUUGAGCUAAAAGCUAUAGCCUACUGUAAAUAUCUGUUAUGCAUGUAUCCUACAGAGACAUGCCCUAUCCAUGCUGGAUGAGCUGUUCCACUUCCUCAUGUACUUGUUCUUGGGUUCAACUGAGAUGGACCUCGCUAACCGAUUUGGCAUCCAUCACUCAACAGUAAGCAGGAUCGUUGUCACAUGGGCCAACUACCUUUUACAUUCUGCUGGGGUCUGUCUCUAUAUUGAUGUCUUCGGAAGAUGUCAAGGCUGUGUUGCCGAAGGAGUUCAUUAGGUAUCCAGACACCCAAGUCAUCAUUGACUGUACCGAGUUGAGAUGCCAGUAGCCAGCCAGUCUCCCUCUACACAGUGAGAUGUACUCUCAUUACAAGUCCCACUGUACCUUGAAAGUCCUGCUUGGGAUGGCCCCACAUGGAGCAGUUACUUUUGUGUCAGAAUUGUAUGCUGGCUCCAUCAGCGACGAAGAGCUAUUCAAACAAUCAGGACUGUUUGGCUUGCUCACUGAAGACAUGGCAGUGAUGGCAGACAAGGGGUUCCUGAUUGAUGACUGUGUGCCAGGCAAGGUCUACCGUCCACCCUUUCUGUCUUAACAGAGCCAAAUGCCAGCAGCACAGGUCCAUCAAACGCAAUAGAUUGCUCAUCUUAGAGUCCACAUUGAGAAAUGAAUUGGCAGAAUUAAACUGAAAAAGCUGUGUCAGUCAGAGAUCCCCAUGUCACUGAUGGGACGCAUCAACUGCAUCUGGGCUGUGGCUUGCCUUCUCACAAACUACCAGUGUGGGCCUCUUGCGAAGGCAUAGGCCAAGGAGCUACUACUGCAAUGCAUCUUUCCUUGUUUUGCUGUGACCGUCCACAUUGUCUAACACCUUGUAGUCCAUUUAUUGAUAAACACCACUGCUUAUCCUCCAAACACAAAAUGUUGUAAAGAGUUUUUAUUUACAGUGACAAGAGAACAGAAAAAAUGUAACUGAAUUAUUUGAAAUGAUUUAUUUAUUAAUGUCAGCUGUUGGUGCUGUGCCUUUGAGGAUCCUUUCAGCUAGAUUGCCUGCGGAUGUCAGCCCUCUCACAUGUCAAGCCUCUCGGAACCAUGACGAGGUCAGUCUUGGUUUCCGGAGCACCUGCCAGUCAGAGACAGCACUCUGUUCUUUAGUAGCUUCCUCUAUUUUAAGGGCUGUUGCGAAGCUCACCUGAAAAAAACUAUAGUAGCCAUCCAGGGGGCAGUGAAGGGAAUGAUGGUGUCUCCUUAUGGUGAACUAUGUGUCACGUUGUGAUUGGAGGCUGCUGGUAAGACAGGAGGCUCCCAACCUGUACCUUUCCAAAGUGGGAGCUUUUCAGCAGACAUCCCCAUGCUGCAGAUCAAUGGCUUGGAUAGAGGGUCAAAGUUCUUGUGUGCCUCUUCUAUCUGGAGAACUGAGAGGUCAGGGAGAGGUCCAACAAGGGCGCUGUAGAAUGUACUUCUGCAAAGCAGCCGCUGUGGUUAGCCAAUCUAAACAAUGUACUUGAAACCACCUGAAAUUCAAUUAUUUUAUAUAGUCAAAGUGUAAUAGGACAUGAGCGGUGUCAUGACUCUCUCUCCUUGGUGAGGAUCAAAGGUGCCGGAUAAAGUAGGCAGCCAAACUGACAGUCAGCCAAACUCUCUCUCUCUCUCUGUCCUGGGGGAGUUGGCCCAGUUUUUUAACUUAACAACCGUUAUCGUAAAUACUUUGCAGAAACUCUCCCUUUGCCUCUGCAGUAUUGGGAAAGACAUCCUUUGUAUUACAGAAGAGAGACUCUUGUCCAAAACUUCAAACAAUAGACAUUGGGGCAAAAUACUUCAACAUCCAAACGCUGGGGAUGACGAGGGAUGGCAUAUGGGAAAUUAAUGUCUAUUUUGUGAUGUCAUUAAAAUGAUCAGAAAGACGUUAUAACGGAAACAUUGUAACAAUAAGAGCUUUCACAAUGUAUAUAUCAGAUUUGCAUCUAAAUGUUGUAAAACGUAUGAUUAUUAAAUAUGAAACUAUUUGUAAGUAAAGUAAAUAUAUUUCGAAAAUGUAAAAAAAAACUAUGUAUUAUUAGCUAAUUAGCUAUGGUGCAGGCUAACUCAAAUGAGCUGCUAAAUGAGCUAACUAGUUAACUAUCUAGCCAACUUCACAUACUGUAUAGAUAGCUAACUAAGUGAAUGAAAUAUCACCAUCUACCUAACUCCAUAUUAGCUAGCUAUCUUGAUAUAUUUAUCACUGUAAAAAACAAACUCAAAAUGCAUUUGUAGGUAGCUAGCGAACAGCCAUGGAGGAGGGUGAAAAGAUAGCAGCCCCAACUGUCAGUGAGAGAGUAGGCUAUUCUGGAUAGGGCAGGUACUUUUGUGUAGUUCCUGUCCCUAGAAGUGAGGACGGAGAUAAUAGUAACAUAAUAUUUGGUGUGGUGUAAUUUGACUAUAAUGAAGUCUGUUUCUUGUGAGGUUUUCUGUCCUCAGAUAAAGAGAGCUAUGAAAGCCAGUCUACAUAUGAAGAGGUCCCAAUGAAGAGCAGUGGUUCUCAGUCCUGGUCCUGGGGACUCAAAGGGAUACCUUGUAAUUGGAGAUUCCUUCAAAACCAUUGCCUACAGUUAGCGUGUAGGGCACUGCAAGGUUGGGUGAUCAGGGCCAUCUGGGACUGCCUCCUGGAGGAAUUCAGGUGUGUGAAGGCUACCUGUGUCCUGCAUAACUUCAUGAAGAUGGACACGAGGACCAGGAGUGGAUCUGCAGCUUGCCGCCGUGUGCCAGAGGAGAAGUCUGGUGCUCUGCAGGAUGUUUCAAGGUUGGGGUCCAGCAACGCAGCAAGAGAGGCAAUCCGUGUGCUGGAGCUCGUCACCUCCUACUUCUUCGAAGAGGGUGCUGUUCCCUGGCAACACCAUAGACUACAUUAUGCACAACCAAAGGCUAUUUUAAGAGCCAUCCACAUUGCAAUAAGAGUAUUCUUCCAUUUACUGAGCUAUGUCAACUGCAGUUAUUCAAUUCCCAGUUUCUCUCCCUUUGAUUUCUACUUCUCAGGUGAGGGUGCUGUUUAGAUAAGGGUGUGAUGUCUGUAGAAAAACAAAACAGGCUAUUUAAAUCACCCAUAUUGAAAAAAUGUAGAACAAUUAGACACCCUGUAACCCACACCUACACACUCAUAAGCAGGCUCAGGUGUAUAAAAAAAAGGUAAGAGGGCCAACCAUGGAGAAUAAUAAGACACGUCAUUAUUUCUAUUACCACGCUAUUUUGUUUGUCCUCAUGUGUUCAUUCAUGUUUUUCAGCAUAAAGUACUCUGCAGCUACUUAGUGGACACCAGGUUAUAUCAGCUGUGUUGGUGAACCCCUCCCUCAUCUGAACUGGCUACAUAGAGGGCACAGCAUGAUCAGAGAUGUGUUUUGUUGUGAGAGAGGAUGCCAACCCCCAGUCCCAUCAUCGCAACCUCACCCGCUUUUAAGAUAACCUUCAGGCUGACUAGAGACACUUAUGUAAUUGUGAUGAACUGAGAGAAUAUUUGUGUAGCACUGAUUCAUUAUUCAUAUCCCUGCUCCUAUGUUCUUACCUCUUUCCCUUUCUGUCUUUUACACCUCUCUCGCCACCUCCUCUUUCUUCCUCUGUUUUUAUAAUUCACAACAGAUGUGCAUUGAAGUACAGAUUGAACUUGUAUUUAUAAUAUUACAAUUAUAAUAUUAAUGCAUGUAUUUAUAACACUUGGAUAAUGAACUUCUUUCAAUAAAGUGUUUCACAUUC
rnacentral:lncRNA from 1 species